AUGGACGAAAGUCUGACGGAGCAACGCCGCGUGAGCGAUGAAGGCCUUCGGGUCGUAAAGCUCUGUUGUUAGGGAAGAACAAGUACCGGAGUAACUGCCGGUACCUUGACGGUACCUAACCAGAAAGCCACGGCUAACUACGUGCCAGCAGCCGCGGUAAUACGUAGGUGGCAAGCGUUGUCCGGAAUUAUUGGGCGUAAAGCGCGCGCAGGCGGUCCUUUAAGUCUGAUGUGAAAGCCCACGGCUCAACCGUGGAGGGUCAUUGGAAACUGGGGGACUUGAGUGCAGAAGAGGAAAGCGGAAUUCCACGUGUAGCGGUGAAAUGCGUAGAGAUGUGGAGGAACACCAGUGGCGAAGGCGGCUUUCUGGUCUGUAACUGACGCUGAGGCGCGAAAGCGUGGGGAGCAAACAGGAUUAGAUACCCUGGUAGUCCACGCCGUAAACGAUGAGUGCUAAGUGUUAGGGGGUUU
rnacentral:rRNA from 1 species